UUCAAUCACGUUUAUGUACGUGGUCCAUCCAUCCACAAUAGAGGAGAAGCCAAAAAAAAAAAAAAGGUCCUACUCAAUGGUACCUAUCAUGGACGUCAAAAUUUUCAAACGAAAAUGAAACCUUAGGUGACUCUUCUUUCCAUCAAAGGAUGUAUUGGUUCACAAGAUACGUACCCAACUUUCCUUGUCUUGAACAAGACCACGACUGAGAAUUUGAAUAGAGCCAUCAGCCAUGGCUAGAUAUGGUCGGUCCAACCUCCAAGACUGGUCCAGUGGUUGUGCCUCAUGUAGAUGUGAAGAAAAAGCAAUGGCAGCAGAAACUUCCUGAUCUGCACGUACAACCGGUGGCACCCAGAGCCGGAGGUACCUCCCGCGCAGCAUGCUGAGGUUAAAACUAGGAGAGGUUCCCAGAGUGAGAUGGUAAACUUUAGUGGAGAUGCUAUAACCCAGGACUACUCUGCAAAGGAUCAUAUCAAGCAUGCCCACCCAUCUAUAUUAGCCCUCCCAAACUUUCCAAGCGUCAGCGGUAUUUGUGCUUUUGUUGAAAGCCGGGAAAGACGUCAGGGACGGACCAUUUCGAAAAAUCGUCACCAUGGCUCCUCCCAACUACAUGAUACAUCGACUAGUGGUGAUGGGUCCCCUGCAUGGAAGUCAACGGUGAUUUGUCCAAAUAAGGCUACUUAACUACCCCUAAAAAGUACACAGCAAAAAUCCCAUGCCAUGAUCUUCUCUUCCACUAAACUCAACAUGGCUCCUCCAACUCUAAAAGACUAUUGUUUUUGCCCAUAGACUUGACAAAUAAGCCAUUGGAGCAAAACUUUCCUGUCCAAAACCAUUGGCAUUCUCAUACUCCAAGUUUCAGAGGUAAAAGCUGGGGUGUCAUUAAAGAUGAUGAUUCUGCACUUGAUUUGAAAUUCAUAGACCUCUCAGCAGUAACUGUAAGGAUGAACUUUAACCUAUAUACUUGAGAAAAAAGAACCCUAGACGGGAAUAUGUUGCCAUCGACCCCACAAGAAGAAACUACUAAUUGAGAUUAUCUUAUAUCCUAUGAGCAAGAUAAUUUUGAGUAGGGCAAUGAUCACUGGUCAGGAAAGUGGUCCAGGUCCAUUACCUCAGCGGACCGAUCAGAGUUGUGGAUGAGGAUGGGUUACUGGCCAAGCAAGGCAAUCUUCUGGUAGUCGAAAUAUAGAUCUUGGGUCUUCUACCUGGAGAUAAAUGGGGUUAAUAUAGCAGCAUUUUGACACAAAAUGGAGGUCGUUUCCUGACUUGACCAUUUUCCCUGCGCAACCAGAGCUAUUUGGUAUUUCAAUCGAAUAUAUAUGCCUGCUCACGUCACAUACCAGGUAAAGUUUCUACUUUAUAUCUUCCCUUAACUGCUUGUAAAAGCUUCAAAUAGUACUGCACUAGACGCACUAACACCUAUGCAGAGAAAAGGAAUAGAAUGCAUUUCAUAUUUUAAACUAUGCAUAUAAGUAAGAUUUGCAGGCACAACUUACCCUGAGUAAUUAGAGCUGCUCACACAUGGAACAAAAGGGAAAGAUCGCCUGAAGAAAACUGGCUCCAAACUCUCAAAUAAUGUGAGGUUCGGCACUCACGGCCAUUAAUUAGCAAACCUACCAACAACUGAAAGCCACCACCUUGGAAAUGUAUAAUACAUCGAAUACACAAGUACCAAAGCAAUGAUAUUACUUUCAAUAAUUCUAGUAGCAUAUGUUAGCCACCAGAGUUGGAACCGAACCAUCUUCCAUUCAGCAAGAAGUAGUUAUUCAUUGUCAUGGUCAUAUGCAGAUUUAAGAAGGCAUUCCAGAAUGGGAAAAGAUUGUUGGGGAGGCUGCAGAACAAUUCCAGGAAGAGAGAAUGGUGGAAUUGUGACAUCAAAGAGGUUCAAGAUAUACCUCCCAGCAUUUGUAGACAGCAAAUCUCAGUACUGAUGACAGAGAAAUGUGACAUUGAACUCUCAUUCUGUGGACUCAAGCACAUUUCUUAUCUCUCAACAUUGAUAAUAUUGACGAAAAAAGUAGACUUCUUGUGAUACCGAAGAUAGUUUCAUGAGUUUGAAGAUAUUCUAAUUGAGUGUAUUAUUAGAAAAAAUAAUUUAUGAUUCUUAAACAUCUUAAGAGCUGAACUAUCUAAACGUCCUAAAAAAUGCCACUUUAAACCAAAAUAAUAUCACUUUUGAUGUCAUCCACGAUGUUUGCCUAUCUUGCUAACCUACAAAAUCAUCAACUACGUACCAUGCACAGAACAGAAAUCUCACAACAUUUUUUUACACUUGCAUGCUUUCACCUAUUAUAAACAACCCUCAUUCUCCGUUUAUUUAAAUAUGCAACAUGUUGAAUAAAAGAAUGAAACAACUACUUCCAUCACUCAAUGUAUUGAUUACAGCUUAUUGCCUAACCAGGGCAUGAUGCUUGUUAUCUUGUUAUUUCAGGUGUGAACUAAUGAGAGGUGGAAUGAAAGAGUGCCUUAUGCCAAUGGGUCUCACUCCUCUCCAUAUGAACCUAUCAAAGUAGGGGAGGGCAACACUACCUUGAAGCAAGUGUUGCUUACCAGUGAGUAGUAUUCGAUGCAGUUGACCACCCCUCCAAAUUUGGGCACUCCAAAGAACAGAUAUGAUAGUGACCAUCCGGUUCAUGAUGCCCAUGCGGAGAAAAAUUUCUGGAAUAGUUGAUUACUUGAUUCUCCUAAUGCUUACGCUUAUCCCGACAGCUAUCUGACCAGCAUGUAUAGAGCAAGCUCGCAGUUCAACUUCCUCCUCACUACCUGGACCUAUUUCACUAUUGGCUUCAAUCAUGCUGGCAAGGGUCGAACUAUAUUUUAG